rnacentral:rRNA from 1 species
AGCGAACGCUGGCGGCAGGCCUAACACAUGCAAGUCGAACGAGACCUUCGGGUCUAGUGGCGGACGGGUGAGUAACACGUGGGAACGUGCCUUUAGGUUCGGAAUAACUCAGGGAAACUUGUGCUAAUACCGAAUGUGCCCUUCGGGGGAAAGAUUUAUCGCCUUUAGAGCGGCCCGCGUCUGAUUAGCUAGUUGGCGAGGUAAUGGCUCACCAAGGCUACGAUCAGUAGCUGGUCUGAGAGGAUGAUCAGCCACAUUGGGACUGAGACAUGGCCCAAACUCCUACGGGAGGCAGCAGUGGGGAAUCUUGCGCAAUGGGCGAAAGCCUGACGCAGCCAUGCCGCGUGUAUGAUGAAGGUCUUAGGAUUGUAAAAUACUUUCACCGGUGAAGAUAAUGACUGUAGCCGGAGAAGAAGCCCCGGCUAACUUUGUGCCAGCAGCCGCCGUAACAC